rnacentral:lncRNA from 1 species
UCAUGCGCGGGCGUCGGUUAAGCUAAACUCCUCUCGCGGCGCACUGUCAACUUCCCGCCACUCAAGGAGCCGGGAUAAUAAUAUAAGAUAGUGCUCCGCUAAUAAUAAAAUCACGUUUAAAUUAAUUUGACAGCUCCCGGAGGAACGAUUCCCUCCCACAAAUGGUAUUUUCCAUAUUUUAAAAUAUAUGGAAAACCCAGAAAAUAUCUUGACUUAUUUAGUCUCUGUGGAGAUCCAUCUCUCUCUCUCUUUCUCUCUGUCUUUCGCUCAUACGUACGGUUACGUACGAAGCGGGUCUACCGGACGUGACGUGGUCCCCUGAUUCUGAGUUACGAGGCGCCAUCACGUCCGUCCAGUUGUCGAGAUGGUCCCUCCAAACCUGUCGCGAGGAAAUUCUGCCCCUGUUUGGGGAGGCCGCGGGGAGAGAUUUCCGAAAUCGAUUCCCCUCUGCCGGCGGGGCUGGGUCGGCGGCGCCGCUGCCCCCAGGCCAUCAUCACCUACCGGGCCUGGCAGAGCAAUCAAGUAGGAGAGCGUCAGCAGUAAUGGAUUUCCACGAGACGGAAGGAAAAAUCAUGGGAGGCGCCCGGAGGGGACCCUCUGAUUCCGGACCCCAGAUGACUUUUUGACCCAGUGGCAAGGUCAACGCAGAAGAGGGGUCAACGAACCGGUCAACCAAUGCAGGGUCAACCGAAAGACGUGGGCCAUUCGAGUGGUUGCAUGAUCCACGGAUGAAUAAACCCAAGAACAAGCAGAUGCUGCAUGCUUAAUUUAGAAACAAGAGGACGAGAGCAUUCGGAUAAAUCUAACAUGAUGAUUCUCAAGAGCAAUUGACAGUCUGGUAUCAUUUCUCAGGAGCAUUUGAUAAUCUGACAUGAUUUUCAAGAGCAAACAUGGGAUCGACAAUUGAUGAUUCACAAAGAUUAGCCGCCAAAUCAGGGAAGAUAUAUAAUGAAGCUGCAAAACCUAGUCUUUUUUCAGACAUCUCUUCGUUGACUUUUCUCUCAGGUCUCUUUGGAGUCAAACGCCCUCAGAGGCCCGCAACCUCAGUCGCUACGCGGCCUCGAGGACCCUCAAAGCAUUUAUAAUACACCCCCAGUUUCAGCACACCAUAUGAGCCUCGGCUAAUUUUCUGCCCUUUGGACGGUUGACUUUAGAUCACAAGUUGUCUCAACUGGAAACAGUGGGCAGCUAUACCUUGAGCCCUGGCUUAGUCUGUCAACCAGGCAGCAACCCAACUCUGCUCACCCAAGGAGCAUAUCAGGCGAGCUUUCCAUUUAAAGGGUGAAGCGCCCACUUCCAAAAUUACAUAAACGUGGGGAAAGCAUAGUCCCAAAAAUGUACCAUCUAGAACAUCUUGAAAAACCUGAAAAAGCCAUUGCGUUGCAAUUUCUACUCGUUGACUUUCAGUGCACAUUUUCUCAUCAGUUAUAUUUAUGCAUUUUCGUCUGGGUGAACUGAUAUGAUUUGUCCUUUAGCAUAUCUCGUUUCAAUGAUGCCUGCAGAUUCACGUUGGACAUUAUUUUCUGUGAACUCGGAUGAUGCAGAGCAUGGCAUGUAUAUAGUAGAAAUUCAUGAGUUAUAUAUAUAUAGUUGUUCUUAAUAUGUUAGCCUUUUUUUCUUAUCCACCCUUGUUCUUGGAAAAACCUGAUUCCACAGAUCAAGACAUGUUUUUAAUUAUUAAUCUGUCUUUCAAAUUUACAGAAUCGUGGGAAAAAAAUAGUCCAAAAUUAUGCUAUCUAGAACACCGAGGAAUCAAGCAAACAGUAUUUAAGAAAACUUGAGAGACCAUGAAAAUUCCAUUGCGUUACAAUUUCUACUCAUGGAGUUGCAAUGAACAUUUUCUUGUCAUUAAGUUUAUGCAUGGUUCGUCUGGGUUGACUGACAUGAUUUGCCCUUUAUCAAAUCUCGUUUCAAUGAUAUCUUCAGAUUCACGUUAGACAUUACUUCUAUGAAUUCGGAUCAUGCAGAACAUGGCGUUUAUGGUAGCAAUUCAUGGGUUAUCUAUAUAUAGUCUUUCUUUAUCCACCCUUGUUCUUGGAAAAAAACCUGAUUCCGCAAAUCAGGCCAUCAUUUCAUUAUUAAUCUGUCUGUUACCUUGCCUUCACACGCAUCUAAAGAAAUACACAUAAGAUAUCUCACAAUUUUAUACCACAUUAGGCAAGAAACACGCAUGGAUAACAUAUUGACGCACGACACAGUAAAAUCUGAAUACUACACAGCAUGGCACGGAAUAUACAAUUUAAGAAAUUCAUGGGGAUUUGGCAUCAGCUUACCAUUUUUACUCCAGCACACGUGAGCCUGCAGGGAUCACGCCACAAUACAACUUCACCAUACAAAGACCUUGCUGGAGCCCUUCCCCUAGUUUCUCAUUCUCUUGAUCUCCACCUCCGUUUCAGAUUGUUCAACGACGACGACGACCGCAAGACAUAGCCCCGGAGGCUCUAUCCAAAGAAAUGUGCCGGAAUAAGCAGGAAGAGCGUCCCAUGCGCAAAUUGCCUUCUCUCCUGCGGCUGACGGGAAGAGUGAGGCAGAGGAGUGAUCCAGCACCCGUCCUCCCCUCUGCAACAACAGCCACAGGAGGAGAUUCAAAUGCGGGGAGCGCAGCCAACGGCGGCUACUCCCUUCACGCAAUCCUCGCCACUCCCCCGUUCCCUCCUUCAAUGGAGGGGCGAGACGGCGCCAAGCGCGAAGGAAGAGCCGUCCCUCACAGGUCCCCUCCUCUUCUCCGAAUGCAGCCACUAAUCCGGCGCCGGCGAAGAGAUCCUCGAGUCCUGAUCCCACUCCCGCUCCGGCCAGCGACCAAGCUUCAGCAGCGACGGAGAGCUCUCCUCCCUCUCUUCCUCCCCGCACGAAGAGGACGGGGCCGAUCAGAUCUGCGUUCCUGUUCGUGCCUCGCGCGAAGCACCAUGGAGAAGAAGGGAAGGCCGUUACCUCCUUUAAUACGUAUCCUGUUUUACGUAUAAAUAAAUAUUAGACUAUAUUAUAUAUUAUAUCGUAGAGCUGCCUUAAUUGUCCUUCUAGAAGCUGUGGGGCCCGCCCAGUUUAAAAUAACUCCUUUUUUUAGUGGGGAAAUCGUAUACACGUGGCGUUUGGUGCUGGGAGGAUGCCACGUGGAUCCUGUCGCGGUCGUUAGAAUCGGUUUUUCUAGUUGAUCCUGGCUUUCUAUUCUCCGACGAGGCGGGCGAGCUGUGGGCCCCACAUCGCCCGCUUGAUCUUCCCCCUCGUCCUGCGCCUUCGAAUUUGAAACGUCCGCCGCCGCCGCCGCCGCCGCC